UUGACAGGCUGUUUGGGCUGUGGUGGGCCCAGAUUUUCUGGCCUGAUAUGGAAGGCAUACUUUGUGCUCUGAAUGCAGGUUGCCACAAGGAUGGGACUAAGACUUUUGGAUGGGGAUUUUGGGACUUUAUUGAAAACUAAUUGCCAUUGCAGCUGUAGUCUCUUUCUUAGCCUGCCAGUGGUAGGGUUCAGAGAGGAGCCAAGCGUCCCGACAGGCAUUCCCCAAAUCCACCCAAGCAGUACCACAGCAAAGGUUUACCAAAGUACUGGAUACCUGAAGAUCCCAGACUUCUCUGUGCUAGAUAAUUGAAGGCAGAGCACUCCACUGAAAAGGCUGCCAAGAUCUAUCAGUGAAACAAAGUAAGCUCCCACACAAUCUCUAGAUCCUGAAAAAAGAAAUGUUAGGAAAUGAUUUUGCAGU
rnacentral:lncRNA from 1 species